rnacentral:rRNA from 1 species
UACGAAGGGGGCUAGCGUUGUUCGGAUUUACUGGGCGUAAAGCGCACGUAGGCGGUGUGUCAAGUCAGGCGUGAAAGCCCCGGGCUCAACCUGGGAACAGCGCUUGAGACUGGCACGCUCGAGUUCGGGAGAGGAUGGUGGAAUUCCCAGUGUAGAGGUGAAAUUCGUAGAUAUUGGGAAGAACACCGAUGGCGAAGGCAGCCAUCUGGACCGACACUGACGCUGAGGCGCGAAAGCGUGGGGAGCAAACAGG